CUCAUCCUAGAUUUAAAUCGCCCAUCUUGCGAUCCUCUACCGCUUCCUCCUCUGCCACCACCACCUCCAGUCAUUACCAAAGUUGAGUUGCCAUCUGAACUCGAAGUUCGGUUCUUCCGUCUAAAAAUCUCAUUCUGAAGUGGUGCAGAAGUAAUCUUUUCCAUCUUGAUGGUGCUCUUUCUCACUAAAAGAGCAGUCAUCAAAGACUUAAAAGAAGGGAGAAGCGAUG
rnacentral:lncRNA from 1 species